rnacentral:rRNA from 1 species
AUUCUGGCUCAGGAUGAACGCUAGCGACAGGCCUAACACAUGCAAGUCGAGGGGCAGCACAAGGAGCAAUCUGAGGUGGCGACCGGCGCACGGGUGAGUAACACGUAUGCAACCUGCCUGUAAGCGGGGAAUAACCCGUUGAAAGACGGACUAAUACCGCAUAAUACUAAAUUACUGCAUGGUAAUUUAUUUAAACAUUUAUGGCUUACAGAUGGGCAUGCGCAUGAUUAGCUAGUUGGAGAGGUAACGGCUCCCCAAGGCAACGAUCAUUAGGGGUUCUGAGAGGAAGGUCCCCCACACUGGUACUGAGACACGGACCAGACUCCUACGGGAGGCAGCAGUGAGGAAUAUUGGUCAAUGGACGAGAGUCUGAACCAGCCAAGUCGCGUGCAGGAAAGAAUGUCCUAUGGAUUGUAAACUGCUUUUGCAGGGGAAUAAAGUGAGCCACGUGUGGUUUUUUGUAUGUACUCUGCGAAUAAGGAUCGGCUAACUCCGUGCCAGCCGCCGC